GGCGCACGGGUGAGUAACACGUGGGGAUAUGCCCAAGGGUACGGAAUAACCGUUGGAAACGACGGCUAAUACCGUAUGCACCCUCAGGGGGAAAGCUUCGGCGCCCUUGGAGUAACCCGCGUCCGAUUAGCUUGUUGGUGAGGUAAUGGCUCACCAAGGCGACGAUCGGUAGCUGGUCUGAGAGGACGAUCAGCCACACUGGGACUGAGACACGGCCCAGACUCC
rnacentral:rRNA from 1 species